AUGAGUUUGUAUCACUGUGGUACACGUUCGGUGGAGGAACCAGACUGGAUGUUAACUUCAGAGAGUCGUGUCUCUCUACAGUCAGAGGUUUUUGUACGACGACUCAACCAGUUUGUAUCACUGUGGUACACGUUCGGUGGAGGAACCAGACUGGAGCUUGGAAGUGAUGUCCGUCCCACCCUGACGGUGCUGCCCCCCUCCACAGAGGAGCUGCAGCAGGGGAAGGCCACACUCAUGUGUCUGGCCAACAAGGGCUUCCCCUCAGACUGGAGUCUGUCCUGGAAGGUGGACGGCAGCAGCAGCAGCAGCUAUGAGGACAGCAGGAGCCCCGGGGUGCUGCAGAAGGACGGCCACUACAGCUGGAGCAGCACCCUGAGGCUCUCUGCAGACCAGUGGAGGAAGGUGGGCUCUGUGACCUGUGAGGCCACCCAGGGCUCCCAGUCUCCACUCUCAGAGACACUGAGAAGAGACCAGUGUUCCCAGUACUGACCUGAUUUACUGGGAUUCUCUUACUGGUUUUACUAUAUUUCUAAUCUCUGACAUUCAGUCUUUCAAAUUCACUUUUUUUUCAUUCUGUUCUUUUUUUUUCAGAGAUGUUGAUUUUUUCUGUAUUUCUACACAAUAAAGAUGU